rnacentral:rRNA from 1 species
CGCGUCUUAGCAUGCAAGUCGGGCGGCAAGGUACAGCAAUGUACCCUAGAGCGGCGGACUGGUGAGUAACGCGUGGGUGACCUGCCUUGAGGCUGGGGAUAGCCGCUAGAAAUAGCGGGUAAUACCGAAUACGUUCGCCGGGCUGUGGUCUGGCGAGGAAAGGGGCUUUGGCCCCGCCUUGAGAUGGGCCCGCGUCCUAUUAGGUAGUUGGCGGGGCAAGAGCCCACCAAGCCCGAGAUAGGUAGCCGGCCUGAGAGGGCGAACGGCCACACUGGGACUGAGAUACGGCCCAGACUCCUACGGGAGGCAGCAGCUAAGAAUAUUCCGCAAUGGGCGAAAGCCUGACGGAGCGACGCCGCGUGUAUGACGAAGGCCGAAAGGUUGUAAAGUACUUUUGCGGGCGAAGAAUAAGCGGGGCAGGGAAUGGCCCCGUGAUGACGUUAGCCCGCGAAUAAGCCCCGGCUAAUUACGUGCCAGCAGCCGCGGUAACACGUAAGGGGCGAGCGUUGUUCGGAAUUAUUGGGCGUAAAGGGCGCGUAGGCGGCCGCGCAAGUCCGAUGUGAAAUGCCCGGGCUCAACCCGGGGACUGCAUUGGAAACUGCGCGGCUUGGGUCACGGAGGGGCAGCCGGAAUUCCUGGUGUAGGGGUGAAAUCUGUAGAUAUCAGGAAGAACACCGGUGGCGAAGGCGGGCUGCCAGCCGAUGACUGACGCUGAGGCGCGAAAGCGCGGGGAGCAAACAGGAUUAGAUACCCUGGUAGUCCGCGCCAUAAACGAUGCACACUGGGUGUCGGGGCGAGCGUCCCGGGUGCCGGAGCGAACGCGAUAAGUGUGCCGCCUGGGGAGUAUGCCCGCAAGGGUGAAACUCAAAGGAAUUGACGGGGGCCCGCACAAGCGGUGGAGCAUGUGGUUUAAUUCGAUGAUACGCGAGGAACCUUACCUGGGUUUGACAUGGUGGCGAACGCGCUAGAAAAUAGCGCGGUCCCGCAAGGGACGCCAUCACAGGUGCUGCAUGGCUGUCGUCA